GGAAUCUAUAAUUAGAGCUAGAAUACCAAGUAUCACGUCAUUGAUUAACAAAAGCAUCGAUGAACUUGAAUCAGAGAUGGAUCACCUUGGAAGACCUACUGCUGUUGAUGCAGGGCCGACCUUGCGGUGAUCGAAUUUCUGGAAUUUUUGACAAUCAGCUGCCAGCUGCUUUGAGAAAACUCCCAUUUGAUCGGCAUCUUUCUUUGCAAAAUGUGAGAAAAAUCGUUUGAGAAGCUGAUGGUUAUAAGCCACACUUGAUUGCUUCUGAGCAAGGAUAUCGUCGGCGGGAUCAUUAUAUUAUUUUAGGGGGCCUGCUGAAGUUUCCGUUGAUGCUGUUCACUUUGUCUUGAAGGAACUUGUCAGGAAGUCAAUUGGAGAGUGUCGGGUGAGUUAUACGUGGUUAAUAAUCUUGUUACUAUUCUUUUAUUGAUUUAAAUACCGUAUUUAUUUCUGAAUUUCUGAGGCGAAACGGUUUCCAACAUUGCAAUCAACAAUGGCUGGAGCAGCCAAUGAAGCCUUGGAAAUAAUUCGUGAGAAAAGCAAGAAAACAGUCAUGAGAUUGGUUGACAUGGAAUCUUCAUAUCUGACUGUUGAUUUCUUCCGGAAACUUCCCCAAGAAGUUGAGAGAAAGUGGGAACAACCCGGGAAAUUCAGCAGCUGCCAAUACCAUCGAUCGCAUCUCAGAGGGACACUUCAGGGGGUUUGCAUCAAAUGUAACGUCUUAUAUAAAUAUAUCUGAUACUCUGAGAAACUCAAUUCCCAAGGCAGUGGUUUACUGUCAAGGAGGCGAAACAGUGUUUACUCAAUUACAUUUACACGCAAAUUGGGAAGAAAGAGGGUAAGCAACUCGCUGACACGUUGGACGAAGAUCCACCCUUGAUGGAGAGAAGGCUGCAAAUGUGCUAAAAGGCUUGAACUCUACAAGAAAGCCAAGGACGAAAUCUAUUCAGGGUCAUGGGCUCGAUGUAGUUGUCUGGUAGAGAAGUAGGUAUCUUUUGUAUGAUAAUAUAGUUUACGUCGUUUUUGAUUGUCUUUUGACAGCUGAGAUUCGUUUGUUGCACCAUUCAAUUCGUUAAAAUAUAUGUUGCUUGAUGCAGUGAUUUCCUUGCUAAUA